AGUGAAGUUGGAUGAAAUGGCAAACUUGUUCCCAAUAUAUGCAUGAUUUCUGUCAGCAAAAUGUAAUGGAUCAAAGUGAUCCUUGUUGAUUAUUAUAUAUGAUUGUCUUCUUAAUUAAUUUGUUCCUCCAGAGAAUAAUAAAAUGCUUUAUAUAAAAAAUAAAAUGCUAGUGAUCACAGCUGAUAUCUGCAUGUUUAUCUCAAUGUCCGAUGGUUUGUCUUUCUGUUUUUAUCAUGCAUGUAUCUACUAAAGGGAAUAAAUAAUUAAAAGCCAUAUGCUAAAAUAAUCAAUAGUACUCCCGGUGUUGUUUUCCAUUUUCUAAUUCACAGUAUUGUUAAUUAACAAAAUAUAAUGUAACUGAAGUUCAUAAUUACUUUGUGCGAUUGGUUGCCUGUCCACAUUACAUGUAAUAAGACACUGUACGUAAAGAUACAAAUGAUAUGAGUGACCAUCUUCACAUGGAGAAACAACUAAUCAAUCUUGUCCUUUCUUUUCUGAACAAGUAUCUAGUACCAAUCAAAUAAUGCACUCCCACACACACACACAUGAUGCACUUGUGUGUCUAUGUAUAUAUAUACCGACAACACAUCUUAAUAUUGUGUAAUUAAGAAGAUUUGGAGACUGUACAUGUGUGGAUAUAUAUGAAGAUGAAAGCUAAUUGUUGGUACUGCAUAGUUUUGCUUGUUUUUCUGCAGGUGAUGAUGAUGAUGAUGAUGAUGAACACAAUGCCAAUUGCUGCUCUUGCUGUUUUUGAAGAAUACAAUAAUGCUUCUGAUGUUAUUGGGCGAGAUGAGAAUUGGCUGCUGGCAUUAGCUUUAACGGUACUUUACCCAGCCAUUGUUCUCCAGCCAGACCGCCAAGCUUGUGGUGGAGCAAGGGGAAUGUCCUACUGUUCGUGUAACUUGCCAGCCAACCAACGACAAAGACCAUGCAACACCUACUAUCAUUGCUCUACUUCAUGAGAAUCAUGGCAUGCCUCAGUAGGGAGAUAUUGACAAUACAGGCAAAAGGUGACAAGGCUGCUGCAAAAUUACUUCUUCUUGAAUAUGCGAAACUGACAACACCAUUGGAUGUUUCUUUGAAAAAACUUGAAAGUAUUCAGGUGAUUGAUGUACGUCUUGUGGUGGAUCCAUGGUCAAGAGAGUCUCGUGGCUUUGGAUUUGUUACCAUGGAGAGAAUUGAAGAUGCAAACCGUUACCUCAAGUUUCUUGAUGGUUUGUGCUUGAAGGUCAGGUUAUCACUGAAAAGGUAAAGCAGCAUUUCAAAUAUCAUGAUUUAGUUCAUUCCAAUAUUAAGUUGAUUGAGGCGAUUGAUGCUUUGAGUGAUUUUUGAGAGGUGUUGUUCCUUUGAAGUGUUUUUAGAAGCAGGCUAGCUGUGCGUAGCCACUCUUCAUCAAACUUCAAAAGCUUUAUCCUAACAAUCAAAUCAAAGCUGAUCAAGCAAAACUAGACAAUAUAACCAAGGGCUAGGAGGAGACAUGGUCGAAUACCCACUCCAAGCCGAUAUCUUGGGAAAAUUUCUCCAUCAGAAGGGUGGAAUGAACAUGAAUAUGGAGACACAAUGCUCGACAUUGAGAAAGUAUGAUUCAAAAAAAACAAACUGCUCAGCAAUUUGUUGCUUCUAUCCGUCCAGAGGUUAUAAGCAAGCUGGAAUGAAAGAGCAGAAGCAGCAGAACCAAUACAUCCUUUCGCUCUUACAAUCUCAAGGUAUUCAAGUAAAUUUUGAGAUAGCUCUUUGUACUUCACAUGCUACUAUCAGGAUAUUGAAUAGCCUCAACCUUCAGCCCAAUAGGAAAAUAAGGAUGUCGAUGAAAUUACAACAAAAUUAGAUAUUUUUAUAACUUUUUGUUAUAUUAGAUGUUUAGACUAUUAUAUUUUGUAUUGGAUUGUCUUAUUAAA